rnacentral:rRNA from 1 species
ACUCCUACGGGAGGCAGCAGUGGGGAAUCUUGGACAAUGGGGGCAACCCUGAUCCAGCCAUGCCGCGUGUGUGAAGAAGGCCUUCGGGUUGUAAAGCACUUUCAGUAGGGAGGAAGGCUUAUCCUUAAUACGGAUGAGUACUUGACGUUACCAUCCGAAG